GCAUCAGUAGCUCAGUUUUAGAGCACCGGCCUUGUAAGCCGGCGGUCGAGGGUUCAAAUCCCUCCUGUUGCU
rnacentral:tRNA from 1 species